CUGGAACUGAGUCCUGCAUCUCCCUGCUCAGCGGGGAGCCCACUUCUCAGUCUGCCUGCCUCUCCCUGUCUUGUGCGCACGCGUGCUCUAUCUCUGACAAAUAAAAUCUUAAAAAAAAAAAAAAAAAAGGCAGUUAGUAGUCACACAGAGGUUGCUUUGAUUUUGGAUGGGAACGCUGGUCCUUUUCCUCCCAGGGCGAUCCUCAGUGCCCCCGGACCUGUCCACCUUGCUCCACAGCUGAGCACCUGGCCAACAGCUGCGUUUCCAUUGUGUUGAGCAGGUGACAGCAAAUACAGCGUGUUCCUUUCAGAGACAAAGAGCUUAUGUUCUCUUUGAUACAACAGAUUAAUGAAAGAAAUCUGUAUCCGUGUGAGCUAAACACCACACCAUUGUUAUACACAGAAAGGUACAAAUUGGGGGAGGGAAGGACAGUAUGGGGACUUGCAUGUUCAGCAAAUCCAUUCCUCUCAAAUGUCGCACUGUCCAGGCACGGGCCCUUCUGGUUGGUGGUAGAACGACCAUUACCUUCUGCAUUAAAAGUGGUCCUGCUGGGUGAAACGGUCCCCAGGAUGCUUCCCACUCAGGGAUGCUGUCACUUCCACUAA
ensembl:lincRNA